rnacentral:rRNA from 1 species
GAUGAACGCUAGCGGCAGGCUUAAUACAUGCAAGUCGUGGGGCAGCAUGAGUAGCAAUACUUGAUGGCGACCGGCAAACGGGUGCGGAACACGUACACAACCUUCCGAUAAGUGGGGAAUAGCCCAGAGAAAUUUGGAUUAAUACCCCGUAACAUAUAGAGUAGGCAUCUUCUUUAUAUUAUAGCUUCGGCGCUUAUUGAUGGGUGUGCGUCUGAUUAGGUAGUUGUCGGGGUAACGGCCCACCAAGCCUACGAUGAGUAGCUGAUGUGAGAGCAUGAUCAGCCACACGGGCACAGAGACACGGGCCCGACUCCUACGGGAGGCAGCAGUAAGGAAGAUUGGACAAUGGGCGAAAGCCUGAUCCAGCCAUGCCGCGUGAAGGAUUAAGGUCCUCUGGAUUGUAAACUUCUUUUAUUUGGGACGAAAAAAGGGAAUUCUUUCCCACUUGACGGUACCAAGUGAAUAAGCACCGGCUAACUCCGUGCCAGCAGCCGCAGUAA